CUCGGCAACGGAUAUCUCGGCUCUCGCAUCGAUGAAGAACGUAGCGAAAUGCGAUACUUGGUGUGAAUUGCAGAAUCCCGUGAACCAUCGAGUCUUUGAACGCAAGUUGUGCCCGAAGCCAUUAGGCUGAGGGCACGUCUGCCUGGGCGUCACGC
rnacentral:rRNA from 2 species